rnacentral:rRNA from 1 species
GACGAACGCUGGCGGCGUGCUUAACACAUGCAAGUCGAGCGGUAAGGCCCUUUCGGGGGUACGACGAGCGGCGAACGGGUGAGUAACACGUGGGUGACCUGCCCUCAGCUCUGGGAUAAGCCUGGGAAACCGGGUCUAAUACCGGAUAUGACUCCAUGACGCAUGUUGUGGGGUGGAAAGCCUUGUGCGGCUGAGGAUGGGCCCGCGGCCUAUCAGCUUGUUGGUGGGGUGAGGCCUACCAAGGCGACGACGGGUAGCCGGCCUGAGAGGGCGACCGGCCACACUGGGACUGAGACACGGCCCAGACUCCUACGGGAGGCAGCAGUGGGGAAUCUUGCGCAAUGGGCGAAAGCCUGACGCAGCGACGCCGCGUGAGGGAUGACGGCCUGG